AACGAACGCUGGCGGCAGGCCUAACACAUGCAAGUCGGACGAGAAGGUUCCUUCGGGAACUGGAGAGUGGCGCACGGGUGAGUAACGCGUGGGGACCUACCUCUUAGUGGGGGAUAACGGUUGGAAACGACCGCUAAUACCGCAUACGCCCUUCGGGGGAAAGAUUUAUCGCUAAGAGAUGGACCCGCGUUGGAUUAGAUAGUUGGUGAGGUAAUGGCUCACCAAGUCAGCGAUCCAUAGCUGGUUUGAGAGGAUGAUCAGCCACACUGGGACUGAGACACGGCCCAGACUCCUACGGGAGGCAGCAGGUGGGGGAAUAUUGGACAUGGGGGGCAACCCUGAUCCAGCCAUGCCGCGUGAGUGAAGAAGGCCUCGGGUUGUAAGCGUACUUUCAGAUGCGAAGAUGAUGACGGUAACAUCAGAAG
rnacentral:rRNA from 1 species